rnacentral:rRNA from 18 species
CACCGCGGUUAUACGGGUAGGCCCGAGUUGACAGACUUCGGCGUAAAGAGUGGUUACGGACCAAUACUACUAAAGUUAAACACCCCCCUCGCUGUAAUACGCGUCCGGGGACCGGAGACUCCACUACGAAAGUGACUUUAACACCCUUCCCGAACCCACUUAAGCCAGGGAA